UGGAUCCAGACUUUGACAUGGCUCAGGAUGAACGCUAGCUACAGGCUUAACACAUGCAAGUCGAGGGGAAACGACAUCGAAAGCUUGCUUUUGAUGGGCGUCGACCGGCGCACGGGUGAGUAACGCGUAUCCAACCUGCCCACCACUUGGGGAUAACCUUGCGAAAGUAAGACUAAUACCCAAUGAUAUCUCUAGAAGACAUCUGAAAGGGAUUAAAGAUUUAUCGGUGAUGGAUGGGGAUGCGUCUGAUUAGCUUGUUGGCGGGGUAACGGCCCACCAAGGCGACGAUCAGUAGGGGUUCUGAGAGGAAGGUCCCCCACAUUGGAACUGAGACACGGUCCAAACUCCUACGGGAGGCAGCAGUGAGGAAUAUUGGUCAAUGGGCGAGAGCCUGAACCAGCCAAGUAGCGUGCAGGAUGACGGCCCUAUGGGUUGUAAACUGCUUUUAUAAGGGAAUAAAGUGAGCCUCGUGAGGCUUUUUGCAUGUACCUCAUGAAUAAGGACCGGCUAAUUCCGUGCCAGCAGCCGCGGUAAUACGGAAGGUCCGGGCGUUAUCCGGAUUUAUUGGGUUUAAAGGGAGCGUAGGCCGGAGAUUAAGCGUGUUGUGAAAUGUAGACGCUCAACGUCUGCACUGCAGCGCGAACUGGUUUCCUUGAGUACGCACAAAGUGGGCGGAAUUCGUGGUGUAGCGGUGAAAUGCUUAGAUAUCACGAAGAACUCCGAUUGCGAAGGCAGCUCACUGGAGCGCAACUGACGCUGAAGCUCGAAAGUGCGGGUAUCGAACAGGAUUAGAUACCCUGGUAGUCCGCACGGUAAACGAUGGAUGCCCGCUGUUGGUCUGAAUAGGUCAGCGGCCAAGCGAAAGCAUUAAGCAUCCCACCUGGGGAGUACGCCGGCAACGGUGCAACUCAAAUGAAUUGACGGA
rnacentral:rRNA from 1 species